rnacentral:rRNA from 1 species
AUUGAACGCUGGCGGCAGGCCUAACACAUGCAAGUCGAGCGAGCGGCGGACGGGUGAGUAAUGUAUGGGGACUGCCCGAUAGAGGGGGAUAACUACUGGAAACGGUGGCUAAUACCGCAUCCUAUCGGAUAACCCAUAUGGGAUUGGCUAGUAGGUGGGGUAAAGGCUCACCUAGGCGACGCUCUCUAGCUGGUCUGAGAGGAUGAUCAGCCACACUGGGACUGAGACACGGCCCAGACUCCUACGGAGGCAGCAGUAGGGAAGAUUCGACAAUGGGCGAAAGUCUGACCGAGCAACGCCGCGUGUAUGAAGAAGGUUUUCGGAUCGUAAAGCACUGUUAUUAGAGAAGCGUUAUCUACCCAGAAAGCCACGGCUAACUACGUGCCAGCAGCCGCGGUAAUAC